CCCAGCAAAGUUAAAAAGUUCUUCAUUCUCUAUCUUCUUUGUUGUCCCCAUUCUUACAAAUUCACCUUGGGCAAUUUUAGAUACUAUCUUGAACUCAUCUUGGGUCACCUGGACCAGAUAGCUUGUAGACACAUCUGCUGGCUUCAACUGUUUUAGGAAUGUUCUACUUCGGCCUAGGAGAAAUUGCCUGACGGUUGAUGGAUGUGUCACACCAGUGUAAAUGCUACCUUCCUGGGAGACAUAAUAACAGCAAAGUUAAUGGAUGUCUAUCUUCAGAACUGGGGAUUCUCAGCACUGAAGAUGCUGACAUGACUCCAGGGGGUGGAGCGCUGAUGGGCAUUUCCAGCACACAGAGUCCCCAAGUGCCCCUGAGGGCAAUAAUCUGCAUCUGGGGUCCACGAUGGCAGCUCACCUGGAGGUGCUACCCCUCUGUCCAGCUCCUGGCAGCAUCUGGACUGCUGCUCUGCUGGCAGACAAGCCCCUGGGGCUGAGGGCUGCCAGUCUCUCCUGAGCCUCUUCUGAGACUGUGGGGUCCGGACCUGAGAUACAUAAUCAGAUUAAGAAUUGAAUCCAUGGGUUAUAGGUUGUAGCACUCCACAAACUACCAGAAAUACACUCCCAAAUUAUACCUCCCCCCUUCCCUCUCCUUUUUUACUGAGAUAUAAUUAGUAUACCAUAAAACACAUAGCUUUGAAGUGAAUGAUUGACUAAUUUGGUGUCCAUUCAUAAGGUUGGAGAUCCAUCACCAAUUCCACAGCAUUCUCAUCACCGCCAAGAUAAAUCUGUACCCAUUAUCUCAUUUGCUUUUAUCCCUUUUCCUGGCAACCCCUAAUCGACCUUAUGUCUCUGGGGAUUUGUCUAUUCUGGGCAUUACAUAGAAAUGAAAUCCAGUAAUAUGUGGCUUUUGUGUUUGACUUCUGUCACUUAGCAUGAUGAUUUCAAAGUUCAGAAUAUGUCAGAAUUCUCUUCCUUUUUAAGGCUGAAUGAUAGUUCAUUGUAUGUAGAUAACACAAUCUAUGUAUCCACUCAUCCGUUGAUAGAUGUCUCCCUGUUUCCACUUUUUGGCAAUUAAGAAUAAUGCUACUGGAAACAUUUUUUGUACAAGCUUUUGUGUGCUCAUAUGCUUUCAAUUUUUCUCUCCCCACUUCAUUUCUUUUAUGGGCAAAGGUCGUAAGACUAAAUCUCUUCUUUCUUAUUUUUUUUGUUUUAUUUUAUUUUACUAUUUUUAUUUAUUUUUUAAAGAGAAGAAGUAUG
rnacentral:lncRNA from 1 species